GAUGAACGCUGGCGGCGUGCCUAAUACAUGCAAGUCGAGCGAACGGACGAGAAGCUUGCUUCUCUGAUGUUAGCGGCGGACGGGUGAGUAACACGUGGAUAACCUACCUAUAAGACUGGGAUAACUUCGGAAAACCGGAGCUAAUACCGGAUAAUAUUUUGAACCGCAUGGUUCAAAAGUGAAAGACGGUCUUGCUGUCACUUAUAGAUGGAUCCGCGCUGCAUUAGCUAGUUGGUAAGGUAACGGCUUACCAAGGCAACGAUGCAUAGCCGACCUGAGAGGGGGAUCGGCCACACUGGAACUGAGACACGGUCCAGACUCCUACGGGAGGCAGCAGUAGGGAAUCUUCCGCAAUGGGCGAAAGCCUGACGGAGCAACGCCGCGUGAGUGAUGAAGGUCUUCGGAUCGGAAAACUCUGUUAUGAGGGAAGAACAUAUGUGUAAGUAACUGUGCACAUCUUGACGGUACCUAAUCAGAAAGCCACGGCUAACUACGUG
rnacentral:rRNA from 1 species